rnacentral:rRNA from 1 species
GAAUGAACUAGCCCUGAAAAUGGAUGACGCUGAAGCGGGCGGCCGACACCAGGUCGUUUGUGUAAAAAUCGAUGCAAAUGAGUAGGAGGGCGUGGCGGUCAGUGAGGAAGGUCGAGACGCGAGUCUGACUGAAACGGCCGCUAGUGCAGAUCUUGGUGGUAGUAGCAAAUAUUCAAGCGAGACCCUUGAAGGGCGAAGCGGGGAAGGGUUCCACGCGAACAUUGAUUGGGCGUGGGUGAGUCGUUCCUAAGCCGGGUGGUAAUCGAUCUUCGAAGCGGCGAAAGGGAAGCGGGUUAAAAUUCCUGCACACGGAUGUGAAAGCGGCGACGCAAAAUUGAGGUGAAGACGUCAGCGGUGGCCCUGGGCAGAGUUGUCUUUUCUGUUUGACCUGUGAGAUGCACGGUGUGGAAUCCGAUUAUCGGGAGAAACACGUGCCAAAGGGCAGAGCGUCGGGGCGUCCCCGGCGUCCAGAACGCCACCGAUGACCCUUGAAAAUUCAUCUGCAGUAAUAAUUAAUACAUUCACGCCGUGGCGUACCGAUAUCCGCAUCAGGUCCCCAAGGUGAACAGCCUCUGUCCAAUAUGAACAAU